CCUACGGGAGACAGCAGUGAGGAAUAUUGGUCAAUGGACGAGAGUCUGAACCAGCCAAGUAGCGUGAAGGAUGACUGCCCUAUGGGUUGUAAACUUCUUUUAUACAGGAAUAAAACGAGGCACGUGUGCCUUUUUGCAUGUACUUUAUGACUAAGGAUACGCCAACUCCGUGCCAGCAGCCGCGUUAAUACGGAGGAUCCGAGCGUUAUCCGGAUUUAUUGGGUUUAAAGGGAGAGUAGAUGGGUUGUUAAGUCAGUUGUGAAAGUUUGCGGCUCAACCGUAAAAUUGCAAUUGAUACUGGCAGUCGUGAGUACAGAUGAGGUAGGCGGAAUUCGUGGUGUAGCGGUGAAAUGCUUAGAUAUCACGAAGAACCCCGAUUGCGAAGGCAGCUUACUAAACUGUGACUGACAUUGAUGCUCGAAAGUGUGGGUAUCAAACAGGAUUAGAUACCCUUGUAGUC
rnacentral:rRNA from 1 species